AAAAAGGGCUUCUGUCGUGAGUGGCACACGUAGGGCAACCCAAUUGCUCUGCGUGCGGAAUCGACAUCGACAAGAAGGUGGUAAUAAAAUAACAUUUUAGAACAAUCUUUUAAAAAAUAUUAUAUAUAUUAUAUGUAUAU